GACGAACGCUGGCGGCGUGCUUAACACAUGCAAGUCGAACGGAAAGGCCCUGCUUUUGUGGGGUGCUCGAGUGGCGAACGGGUGAGUAACACGUGAGUAACCUGCCCUUGACUUUGGGAUAACUUCAGGAAACUGGGGCUAAUACCGGAUAGGAGCUCCUGCUGCAUGGUGGGGGUUGGAAAGUUUCGGCGGUUGGGGAUGGACUCGCGGUUUAUCAGCUUGUUGGUGGGGUAGUGGCUUACCAAGGCUUUGACGGGUAGCCGGCCUGAGAGGGUGACCGGCCACAUUGGGACUGAGAUACGGCCCAGACGCCUACGGGAGGCAGCAGUGGGGAAUAUUGCACAAUGGGCGGAAGCCUGAUGCAGCAACGCCGCGUGCGGGAUGACGGCCUUCGGGUUGUAAACCGCUUUCGCCUGUGACGAAGCGUGAGUGACGGUAAUGGGUAAAGAAGCACCGGCUAACUACGUG
rnacentral:rRNA from 1 species